rnacentral:rRNA from 1 species
CCUACGGGUGGCUGCAGUGGGGAAUAUUGCACAAUGGGCGCAAGCCUGAUGCAGCCAUGCCGCGUGUAUGAAGAAGGCCUUCGGGUUGUAAAGUACUUUCAGCGGGGAGGAAGGUGUUGAGGUUAAUAACCUCAGCAAUUGACGUUACCCGCAGAAGAAGCACCGGCUAACUCCGUGCCAGCAGCCGCGGUAAUACGGAGGGUGCAAGCGUUAAUCGGAAUUACUGGGCGUAAAGCGCACGCAGGCGGUCUGUCAAGUCGGAUGUGAAAUCCCCGGGCUCAACCUGGGAACUGCAUUCGAAACUGGCAGGCUGGAGUCUUGUAGAGGGGGGUAGAAUUCCAGGUGUAGCGGCGAAAUGCGUAGAGAUCUGGAGGAAUACCGGUGGCGAAGGCGGCCCCCUGGACAAAGACUGACGCUCAGGUGCGAAAGCGUGGGGAGCAAACAGGAUUAGAUACCCCUGUAGUC